CGCCCACGGGGGGCAGCAGUGGGGAAUAUUGCACAAUGGGGGAAACCCUGAUGCAGCAACGCCGCGUGAGUGAAGAAGUCAUUCGUGAUGUAAAGCUCUAUCAGCAGGGAAGAAAAUGACGGUACCUGAGUAAGAAGCCCCGGCUAAUUACGUGCCAGCAGCCGCGGUAAUACGUAGGGGGCAAGCGUUAUCCGGAUUUACUGGGUGUAAAGGGAGCGUAGACGGCAGUGCAAGUCUGAAGUGAAAGGCAAG
rnacentral:rRNA from 1 species